rnacentral:rRNA from 1 species
CCUACGGGAGGCAGCAGUGGGGAAUAUUGGACAAUGGGGGGAACCCUGAUCCAGCCAUGCCGCGUGUGUGAAGAAGGCCCUCGGGUUGUAAAGCACUUUCAGUGAGGAAGAACGCCUGGUGGUUAAUACCCAUCAGGAAAGACAUCACUCACAGAAGAAGCACCGGCUAACUCCGUGCCAGCAGCCGCGGUAAUACGGAGGGUGCGAGCGUUAAUCGGAAUUACUGGGCGUAAAGCGCGCGUAGGUGGCUUGAUAAGCCGGUUGUGAAAGCCCCGGGCUCAACCUGGGAACGGCAUCCGGAACUGUCAAGCUAGAGUGCAGGAGAGGAAGGUAGAAUUCCCGGUGUAGCGGUGAAAUGCGUAGAGAGCGGGAGGAAUACCAGUGGCGAAGGCGGCCUUCUGGACGGAGACUGACACUGAGGUGCGAAAGCGUGGGUAGCAAACAGGAUUAGAUACCCGGGUAGUA